rnacentral:rRNA from 1 species
GAUGAACGCUAGCGGGAGGCCUAACACAUGCAAGCCGAGCGGUAUUUGUUCUUCGGAACAGAGAGAGCGGCGCACGGGUGCGGAACACGUGUGCAACCUGCCUUUAUCUGGGGGAUAGCCUUUCGAAAGGAAGAUUAAUACCCCAUAAUAUAUUGAGUGGCAUCAUUUGAUAUUGAAAACUCCGGUGGAUAGAGAUGGGCACGCGCAAGAUUAGAUAGUUGGUGAGGUAACGGCUCACCAAGUCAAUGAUCUUUAGGGGGCCUGAGAGGGUGAUCCCCCACACUGGUACUGAGACACGGACCAGACUCCUACGGGAGGCAGCAGUGAGGAAUAUUGGACAAUGGGUUAGCGCCUGAUCCAGCCAUCCUGCGUGAAGGACGACGGCCCUAUGGGUUGUAAACUUCUUUUGUAUAGGGAUAAACCUACUCUCGUGAGAGUAGCUGAAGGUACUAUACGAAUAAGCACCGGCUAACUCCGUG